CUAAACUAUCUAGAUUUCUAGAUAACGUCAUGGACUUAAGAGAAUGUAACAUGAGGAACCCUGCACAGCAUUGCUGCAAGCUGUCAACAGCGGGAGGGAGGAAUUUGACAGUGAUCCUGCAAAGUAUAAGUGGAGGGCUGAAUGUGCAAUAUCUAUAAAGGAGUAAUUCUCCAUGUAGUCUGCAUUGCCAAUGACUGUAGUUAAUGUAGUACAAAUGAGUAAUCAGAAUUACUUUCACAUUUGAAGAAUUCUCACUUAGAUGUUUAACAUUGAAAUUGUUUUUUUUAAAGCAAAUGUAAGCAUAUUGGAUAAUUACUUUCAAAAAUAAGGUAGCAUUUUGUAUGAUUUAUCAAAAUGAGUACAUGAGUACAAUAAACCAACAGCAUGCAGCAAAGAUGAAACGAGCUCCUUUUGUUGGUGCCGUUGAGAGCGUGUGAUCAGAGCUCAAGUCUGUGACACUUGAAAAGAUAAGGUGUCAAUUCUGAAUCACAAAAUUAACAUCCCUGCCUGUAGUUAAAUGACGAAUAACUCUUUUUAGUUGUAUCUUUCUUGCAGUUAAACUGUCAAGCACAGAAAUCUGGAAAGUGUGUGAUUUGAGUGUCUUUUAAAAAGAUCCAUCCUUAAGUUCCAAUUUUCUCCUGGAAAGAGACAGAAAUCUGCAGUCUUCUAGAGAAAUUCAGUGUAGUGCUGUGUAUCUUCUAGAUCAUCCUGAGAUAUAUUCCAUACAAGAGUCGUACACUAAAGCAUCUUAAAUUUCAUAUAAUAUAAGUUGUUGAUGCAAUUCUUGAUAAUUUUCUAGAAGAUAUGCUGUAGGAUUUACUAACUUUAAAGAGGUCACAAUUAGAUUGAAUUAAAAUCAUUGAUUUUUUGGAGAAUAUACUGACUAAAGGUUUAAAAGCCAAAGUAUGGGAAACUUUGUAGCUAUAGUAGGCCUACUUUUGCAUGUCAUUUAAUCUAUUUUGCAACUUGGAGUUUGUAAUCUACUGGUAUGUUUAAACACUCUCGUCAGACAGAUAAAAAACACAUCUUGGAAGGGCAAAGUGUGUUUUCUGGUCUUAUUGCAGUCUUUUUAUAUUCUUCCACUUACCAGGGCCUAGAGAGAACAGUGUGUUGUCUGUGGUGUACAAUAAAAAGACAAGGGAUUAUAUUCAAACGAUACAACAAUGAAGUUUCCAGUUUUAUGUGAGCAACAAAUUGUUCAUGGUAAGGAUGGGUCAGCACCCAGAAUGCGUUACUCAGCAGCAGUAGGACUUCUGUCGUUGAGGAUUUCUGCAGUCAAACUGGAUAAGACCAAGGGUGACUUAACGUAACUUUAAAUUUAGCUUUGCUUUGAGCAGGGCUGUGGACUUGAUGAGGUUCCUGUGGUCACCUCAUCUUAAUUUUUUCUGAAACUCUGUUACAGAGCCUUCAUAAGUUAACUUUGCUUACUUCAUAGUGAACAAUGUAAUUGCCAUACAGGAUUAAAAAAAAAACAUUAAAACAGUUCUUUGUUAAUAAGCAGCAACCAAAGUUUCUUAGAAGGAUGUGAGAAGCACCCCUGCAGGCAGCCACGGGCUUAAAAGCCAUGUGCUUUGAAGGUAUUAAGCAUCUUUAUCUCUCCAAUAUAAAUUGCUUAAGUCUGCAGGCAUAAGACUCUCUUCUAAAUCACUAGCAUUGGACAUUUGUCUAAAUGUCCAGUCUCUUUAUGACUCCUGCUAAAGUACUGUCCUCAAUUGCUUCCUGUGCAUAACAGAGUUUAAUUACAUACUUUGUAAGAAGUAUUUCCUUUUGUCUGUUUAAGAUACUUCUAUCCACUUGUUUCUGAGAUGCAAUACAGGGAGACAGUAGUUUGUAAUCUGCCAUUUUUCUACUGUUCAUUAAUGUAUGCAAUUCUUUUUCUCAAUGAAAAAAAAAAACAACCAAAAACCCACCACUAAAAUAUCUCUUUUAAGCAUUUAUGUUGAGAAAUGCUUUUCAUUUGUCAGUAAUUUCUGUAACCCUCUUGAAAACUGUUAGUGUAACUUCACCUUUCAUAGUUGAUCAUCAAUCUGGUAUUUAGUAUUCUAAGUGAAGCCCCAUCAUUUUUUUACCUUAAUGAAAUAAUAAUUUUGUUUGUAUUAUUCUGCAUCUCAUUCUUUGUAUAACCUCAUGUUAUGGGAUAUGGCUGUCUAACGUCAACGAAGUCCAGCUUAUAGCAAAAGAGGAUAUUUCAUACUUCUCAUCCCUGUUCACCUAUGCAAUGGCAUUAACUGAGAGACAAGUUGGAUGGAAUGACUGGAUGCUGGGUACACAGGACUCACCCAAGGCUGUGAGCUUUGUCAGGAUGGUUUAGUGUUCGUUACCUCUGGAGAAAGCCUGCUGUCUGGAUCCUGGUGCUUCUUCCAAGGAUUUUGAUGUAGCACCACCUUGACCCUGAUGUCUUAUAUGAAGGGGUCCAAAACUGGAUGCAGCAUUUUCAACAUGGCCUAGAAAACAGGUUCUAGGACUUACAGAAGCUUUCCUGUUCUCAGCUGCCAGACUGACCUGAGGAUCUGAAUUUUUCUUGUAAAAGGGGAAUUUUCUGAGUAAGGUAGAAUUGAUUAUAUUGUUUUCUUCUGAAAGAACUACUGAAGUACUGAUAUAUUGCUGUGCACACUUUUCUAAUGUUUUCUGUAGCAGAAAGUAACUUCCUUUUAAGAAACAGUCCCUCAGCUUAAGAAAG